CUAAAGGUCCGUAGCCGGUUUGGUCAGUCCUCCGGGAAAUCUGACGUCUUAACCGUUAGGCUUUUGGAGAUACGCCACGCCUGGAACCGGGAGAGGUAAGAGAUACUACAGGGGUAGGAGUGAAAUCUUGUAAUCCCUGUGGGACCACCUGUGGCGAAGGCGUCUUACCAGAACGGGUUCGACGGUGAGGGACGAAAGCUGGGGGCACGAACCGGAUUAGAUACCCGGGUAGUCCCAGCUGUAAACGAUGCUCGCUAGGUGUCAGGCAUGGCGCGACCGUGUCUGGUGCCGUAGGGAAGCCGUGAAGCGAGCCACCUGGGAAGUACGGACGCAAGGCUGAAACUUAAAGGAAUUGGCGGGGGAGCACAACAACGGGUGGAGCCUGCGGUUUAAUUGGACUCAACGCCGGACAACUCACCGGGGGCGACAGCAAUAUGUAGGCCAAGCUGAAGACUUUGCCUGAAUCGCUGAGAGGAGGUGCAUGGCCGUCGCCAGUUCGUACUGUGAAGCAUCCUGUUAAGUCAGGCAACGAGCGAGACCCGUGCCCACUGUUACCAGCAUGUCCUCCGGGACGAUGGGUACACUGUGGGGACCGCCGGUGUUAAAUCGGAGGAAGGUGCGGGCCACGGUAGGUCAGUAUGCCCCGAAUCUCCCGGGCUACACGCGGGCUACAAUGGAUGGGACAAUGGGUCCCUCCCCUGGAAAGGGCUGGCAAUCUCACAAACCUAUCCUUAGUUCGGAUCGAGGGCUGUAACUCGCCCUCGUGAAGCUGGAAUCCGUAGUAAUCGCGUUUCAAUAUAGCGCGGUGAAUACGUCCCUGCUCCUUGCACACACCGCCCGUCAAACCACCCGAGUGAGGUAUGGGUGAGGGCACGGACACUGUGCCGUGUUCGAACCUGAAUUUUGCAAGGGGGGUUAAGUCGUAACAAGGUAGCC
rnacentral:rRNA from 1 species